GACGAACGCUGGCGGCGUGCUUAACACAUGCGAGUCGAACGGAAAGGCCCUGCUUUUGUGGGGUGCUCGAGUGGCGAACGGGUGAGUAACACGUGAGUAACCUGCCCUUUACUUUGGGAUAACUUCAGGAAACUGGGGCUAAUACCGGAUAGGAGCUCCUGCUGCAUGUGGGGGGUUGGAAAGUUUCGGCGGUUGGGGAUGGACUCGCGGCUUAUCAGCUGGUUGGUGGGGUAGUGGCUUACCAAGGCUUUGACGGGUAGCCGGCCUGAGAGGGUGACCGGCCACAUUGGGACUGAGAUACGGCCCAGACUCCUACGGGAGGCAGCAGUCGGGAAUAUUGCACAAUGGGCGGAAGCCUGAUGCAGCAACGCCGCGUGCGGGAUGACGGCCUUCGGGUUGUAAACCGCUUUCGACUGUGCCGAAGCGUGAGUGACGGUAAUGGGUAAAGAAGCACCGGCUAACUACGUG
rnacentral:rRNA from 1 species